ACAGUUUUUUUAAUGUAACACACUGAUCGUUACACAAAUGCAAAAAGGGUUUAUUUAACGAAGGAUACGAAUGUGUGAAAAGGGUAUCCCUAACAAAAUAAUUUUUGAAAUGCAAAGAAGGGGUGUGUUUUUAAACGAAGAUAUACAUCGGAUGACUCUAAAAGAACCGCUUUAAGAUAUAAACCGGAAGUUGGUGACAUUGAGAUUGAUUACCGCAUUUCAUUUUGACAGGCAGAUCUAUAGGCUAUACUUGCUAAAAUGCGACAUUGAAAAUUUUGUUCUUCUGUUAAAUUUUUUUUACGAAAAGCUUCUUCAAAUUACUAUGCUUGAUUGCAUAUUGAUACUUACAAACUUAGCAAUUGGAAAAGCAAUCCGCUGUAGCAGCCAAGGCUGUUGAACAAGCCGUGAUCGGAUAGUGGAUAGUACUUCUCAUUGAGACCUCAAAUCCUAGUCACAGCAUUGUUGUGAUAACUAUGAAAAAAAAGUGGCUGAACUACUCCAGCUGAAAAAAUAGAUAAAGGGAGUGUUGCCAAAAAGCUGUCAGAAAGACAGUCAAAACAGGGACAAGCAAAUGAAGUUAAAGGGCUCAUGGAAAAACUACAAAAGGACGCUAAAAGCUUAAGGCAGACCUUAGCUGAACUAGAUAAAGAAAUAAAUUUGUUGCAGAAGCAAGGCUAUAAGCAGGAGGAACUUCCAACUCACAUAGAGAAACUGCACCAGUACAAUGAAAUUAAAGACCUUGGACAAAUGCUUCUAGGACAAAUUGCCACAAAAAAAGGAGUGACUACUAAGGAACUAUAUGAAGAAUAUGGCUUGGCUUUGGAAGACUGAAGAAGUAGGCAAAGAAUUGUGUCGAUAAUUUGUGGAUAACUAAGGAAAAGAGAUUUCACAGGACAACUGUUAACAUUAGGAAAUUUAGAAGGAAACAGAAGCAUAGAAACAACUAUCAGUAUGUACAAACAUACAAAAAUGAGAAACUUUUAUAUCUUUCAUAACAGCUGUGACUGACAUAAUUGGAUGAAGUCACAUGAUAAUCACAUGAAGGUCACAUGACAUGCCAGACCAUCUUGAACAACAUGCAUUUCAAAUUUCAAUGAUUUUGACAGUUUUGCAAUAUGGAAUAAAUCUAGAUCUUAUCUUCAGAACACUGUAUAAAGAGUGAAUAAUGGUGCUGGAGAUGCAUUUAGUCGAGUUGCCACCCCCAUAGGCCCAAUAGUCGAACCCUGCAAUGUUCUUUCCUGUAAACUUUUUUUGCUGAAAUGCAUCCUUCAGGCCGA